CCUACGGGCGGCUGCAGUGAGGAAUAUUGGUCAAUGGUCGCGAGCCUGAACCAGCCAAGUAGCGUGAAGGAUGACUGCCCUAUGGGUUGUAAACUUCUUUUAUAAGGGAAUAAAGUGAGGCACGUGUGCCUUUUUGUAUGUACCUCAUGAAUAAGGAUCGGCUAACUCCGUGCCCGCAGCCGCGGUAAUACGGAGGAUCCGAGCGUUAUCCGGAUUUAUUGGGUUUAAAGGGAGCGUUGGUGGGAUGUUAAGUCUGUUGUGAAAGGGUGUGGCUCAACCAUUGAAUUGCAAUGGAUACUGGCAGUCUUGAGUACAGAUGAGGUAGGCGGAAUUCGUGGUGUAGCGGUGAAAUGCUUAGAUAUCACGAAGAACUCCGAUUGGGAAGGCAGCUUACUAAACUGCCACUGACGCUGAAGCUCGAAAGUGUGGGUAUCGAACAGGAUUAGAUACCCUGGUAGUC
rnacentral:rRNA from 1 species